rnacentral:rRNA from 1 species
AGCAGUAGCCGCGGUAAUACGUAGGUGGCAAGCGUUGUCCGGAAUUAUUGGGCGUAAAGGGCUCGCAGGCGGUUUCUUAAGUCUGAUGUGAAAGCCCCCGGCUCAACCGGGGAGGGUCAUUGGAAACUGGGAAACUUGAGUGCAGAAGAGGAGAGUGGAAUUCCACGUGUAGCAGUGAAAUGCGUAGAGAUGUGGAGGAACACCAGUGGCGAAGGCGACUCUCUGGUCUGUAACUGACGCUGAGGAGCGAAAGCGUGGGGAGCGAACAGGAUUAGAUACCCCUGUAGUCCCUGUCUCUUAUAC